GUUCUGAAACAUUUUUGAGAAGUUGAAGACGUGGGCUUUGCCUAGCAUGACGUGAGAUGGCACGACAUGGCAUGGCAUGGUGCCGCAUGAGGGCGCAUGACGCAGCAAGGACCACACACCCACUGCCACUCAUCCUUCCCCGGGGUAUCCGUUGUAGCACCUGGACCUUAUUGUUUCUCUCCCCCACUCCUCAAACAUCCACAGGCUUGCUCAUCUCCUGAGGUUUCCCGGAGCCAGAGCAGGGAAGGCCCCAGAGUCUGCUUGAGUCUGUGCUCCUCACGUCUCCUUGGCAAGGAGGGCCUACGGGAGAAACAUCCGGUUACAACACUCCAGACACAACUUUGUGUCCUCUGCUGUCCGCGGAUCAGAGACAACUUGUCCACAGCCACUCCCUGUAGCUUACUCAUCAACCACACGGUGCGGGACCUCUCUGUGCUCUCUGAAAGGCGUAGAAUGGAGCUCGCUCUGCUUUGCAGGUCUGAGCUCUCCUUAAAGCCCCCGGUACAUUGUCUGUUCGCUGUAUUAAGAAACCCCCUGCUACAUUUCUUACUCAAAAGCAUGCUCCGCCUCAGUGUCCCUCCUGACAAACCUUGACAUGCCUCUCUCGUCUCUUCCUUUUCUGAUGGAAGUAAUGUGGUCCCCAAGUUCCAAGCCGCCCCUUUCCAGUGUCCUCCCUACAAGAUCCAGACCUUACAUUUUCUCUGACAGAACUGUGCUCCUAUCCAAUCUACUGUGGUCUAAAAUAAGAACUGUGCCACACAGGCUCAUGGAUCUGCAUGCUUGGACCCCAGCCAGUGGCACUGUUUGGGAUGGUUUGAGGAGGCGGGGCCCACCUAGAAGGAGGGAGUCACUGGGGCUAGGUUCUAUAGCUUAUGAAUAACCUCUCUGACCUUUAAAUGGACUCUCCAAAAACAGGGGGCUAAAACAACCUCAUACAGAUUUGGAAGAGCACACUGGGAAGAUGGGAGGAGAGAGGCACCAUGGGUAUUACAGUCCACUCGUGAUGGGCUGGCUAUUAAAUCCACCCAUUCUACAAACAAAAUGAUUUCCUCAGCAAAUUUAAGGCCUAAUGGGGAACACAGAGUUUUCCUUUUUCAGAGGAGAAACAAAUGAACUAAUUCCCUUGGAGGGUUUUGUCUUGUCUUGGUUUCGUUCUGCUCUGAGCUGCUCUGGCUUGGGAAGCUCUUUAAGUUAAUCCUUGGAAAGACAUCCUUCUGAACCAGAGAUAGCCUCCCACCUUCCAAGGCACCCUUCCAGAGGGGAAAUUGCAUUGUGUUUGCUAUACCCUCGUCACUGCUAACUGUUAUCUGCAUCCAAAGAGGAACACAAGGCAGUUCAUAUUCCAGACGCCGGAUGUGUCACUUAUGUUUCUAAGGGCCCAGGGAUGUUUCCUUAUUGUUCAUGUGACUCUGCCUAUAUUUCAUAAACUGCUGGUGCGUAAAAUUACUACCAUUUAAACAAGUGAUACUUCUUUCUUCAUCUUCCCCGG
ensembl:lncRNA